rnacentral:tRNA from 1 species
AAUCCCUGGGUGGGCUCGAACCACCAACCUUUCGGUAAACAGCUGAACGCGGUAACCGACUGCGCCAAAGAGAC